AUGUACAAGCGAGGUAAAGGCAAGGAUCGUCUCCUAGUGGGCAUCUAUGUUGAUGAUCUCUUGAUAACUGGAGCAGAUGAGGAGGAGAUUGCUAAAUUCAAGCUACAAAUGAAGGAGCUUUUCAAGAUGAGUGAUCUAGGGCUCUUGACUUACUAUCUCGGGAUCGAGGUACAGCAAAAGCCGGAGGGAAUCACGUUAUGCCAGGAGGCAUAUGCAAAGAAGAUUCUUGAAAGCUGUAGCAUGGAGGACUGCAAUCCAAGUCAUGUUCCAAUGGAGCCUCGACUUAAACUUAGCAAGAGGAGCCAAGCACCCGCGGUUGAUGCAACGGACUAUAGAAGUGUGGUCGGAAGCCUAAGGUAUCUUAUGAAUACACGACCAGACUUGGCCUAUUCCGUUGGCGUAGUGAGUCGCUUCAUGGAAGCACCCACGACAGAACAUUGGGAGCUGUGA
rnacentral:rRNA from 1 species